rnacentral:lncRNA from 1 species
GACGCUCAGUGAGGACGCCCGCUUCCUGCUGAUUGCCGCCGGCCGGACCAUCAAGGUGUACAUCGGCCACUCGGAACCCGUGCAGGCUGUGGCCUUCUCUCCUGACCAGCAGCAGGUCCUCAGCGCAGGGGACGCCGUCUUCCUCUGGGAUGUCCUGGCCCCUACUGAGAGCGACCAAAGCUUCCCCGGGGCCCCCCCAGCCUGCAAGACAGGCCCGGGCGCAGGACCGCUGGAGGACGCAGCGUCCAGGGCCAGCGAGCUCCCCCGGCAGCAGGUCCCCAAGCCAUGUCAGGCAUCUCCACCACGGCUGGGCGUCUGUGCCAGGCCUCCCGAAGGUGGCGAUGGGCACUUGCCCGCCUCCCGCCAGCGGUGGGUGGCUGCGUCUGAAGGCUGUCGUCGGUUACAGCGGGAAUGGGCGGGCCAACAUGGUCUGGAGGCCGGACACAGGCUUCUUUGCCUACACGUGCGGCCG